UUGGGCCUUUUAUGGAAACUUCAUUGGAUGGGUAUGACUAAAGCAUGGACAACCGUGUCGAAGUGUGAUUGGACAAAAAGAGUGUGAUCUAAUACUUAAUACAGUGACUGGGGAAACCUAGCAGGGCCUGCCUGUUCAGAUUCUUCUUGGCCUGUCUGCACAGCACUGCUUCCUCCAGGGUGUGGGACAGGACCCUCUCCAGAAUGAGGGUCUUAUGAACCGUAGUCAGAUUAGAGUCCUGCCUUGGGGCAGGUCAAAGGAGGGCAGGAGUUAUGAACCAAGAACUGCAGACAAACACGUAAAAACAUAGGUUGAUACGUAGAUAGAUGAUAGAUAGAUAGAUAGAUAGAUAGAUAGAUAGAUAGAUAGAUAGAAGUAGUUAGGUAAAUAGAUAGAUGUAGGUAGGUAUGUAGAUAGAUGUAGGUAGGUAGGUAGAUGUAGAUAGGUAGGUAGGUAGAGAGAUAGAUGUAGGUAGAUGUAGUUAGGUAGGUAGGUAGAUGUAGGUAGGUAGAUAGAUGUAGGUACGUAGGUAGAUAGGGAGAUAGAUGUAGGUAGAUGUAGGUAGGUAGGUAGAUGUAGGUAGGUAGGUAGAUGUAGGUAGGUAGGUAGAUAGGUAGAGAGAUAGAUGUAGUUAGAUGUAGGUAGGUAGAUAGAUGUAGGUAGGUAGGUAGAUGUAGGUAGAUAGAUAGAUAGAUGUAGGUAGGUAGAUAGAUAUUAUGAUUUUAGAGUGUUAAAGGGUGGCUCACUCCUGUAAUCCCAGCACUUUGGGAAGCCGAAGCAGGGGGAUUGCUUGAGCCCAGAAGUUUAAGACCAGCCUGGGCAACAAAGUAAAACCUUGACUCUAAAAAGAAAAAAAAAAUUAGCCAGGCAUGGUAUGCACCUGUAGCCUCAGCUACUUGGGAGGCUGAGGUGGGAGAAUCACUUGAGCCAGGGAAGUUGAAGCUGCAUUGAGUCAAGAUCACGCCACUGCACUCCAGUACAGAGCAAGACCCUGUCUGAAAACAAAAGAAAGACUUUUUUUUUUUUUCACAUCAGACAAUGUGCCGACCAUUGUAACAAAGUUUGAGGGUGGCACAUAUCACGCAUGUGCGUGAACACCCAAUCAUCACACUAAUGAACUGCAGAUGAAUCGGAAGACUUUUUUUUCAGCCAUUUUUUUCAGCCUCACAUAUGACACGGGGCAGCCCCCUAUAGAAAUGUCCAGGCCCCGAGGGCCUGGCCGUUGGGCGUCACCCAGUCAGUUAUCCUCCAGCUCCUGGUCUCUUCCUUCGUUCCAGUGUUAAUCGACAAUGCUCUAUGUGCACUGAGUGGUGUCGUGGAGGCUAAAUAGUGGAAAAAGCAAUUCCUGCCCUCAGUCCUCCUAUAUUCUAGGUUGGCAAAGAAGAGAGAAGAGAAGAGAAGCCAUCCUAAAAAAUAACAGCACUGCGAGGCCAGGUUAUGGAGCGAGCUCAGUCAGUGCUUAAGGCUUCGAAUGUAAAAGGACCC
rnacentral:lncRNA from 1 species